AUAAUCCACCACCCAGGAGCUGGAGACGAGGCGCAAGGCGGAGAUGCUGCUGCUUAUUUCCAAGGAGAAGUAGGGGUGUACUCGAGUACGAUCAUGGCCAUCCUCCUCAAGCGCACUUAUUUUGGCACAGUGCGCCCAACAUUUGAAGUCGCCGCUCUGAACAAAAACCGAGCAGCAUAACACAUGCCGGCAGGUAUCAUGAGGUAGCACAUGUUGCAUCAGUCUUAGCAUACAUAAUACGCCGCACCAGAUCAAUAAUGAAAAGGUUAUAACCUUUAGAGAUCUCUAACCUUUACAUCGCCUUCAACAACGGCGAGAGCUUCAGGGACAUGCAUGUUGGGUUGGGACGACCCUGAGAAGAAAUACACUGGGACAGCUCUGCGCAAUUCAAGGCUGGAGUUGCCUCGGCUCUGAAUCUUGAUAUCAGAUUACUGUGCUGCUAGUGCUAGUGCUAGAUACAGACGUGUGUUGGUGAGUGGUGACUAGUAAUUACUCCCUCGUCCGGGAAAACAUGUCCAGCGCGCAGUGUAUUGGCUUUUUUUUUUGCAAAAAAAACCUCAAAAUUGUAAACCCGUCACAAUUUAGCCCAUCUCCUUCCUUCCUCUCCCCCGUCGUCCACGCCUUGCAGCCACCUUCGGGCCCAACACGCAACCAACACCAGCGCCACCGCCCGCCUAGCCCUGCGCCGCAGCUUCCCACCUACGCCGCCUGGCACAAAGUCGACCUGCACCGCCGCCCGCCUGGAGCUGCAUCGCCGCCGCCGCCGGUGACGCUCCCCACCCACAUGGUGGAAUCACCCCAACACCCGCGCCACCCACCUUCGCCGACCACCCGCGGCUCGACUUCGUCCGCUUCGGCCGCCGUUGCCGUGGAAAAUUCCGGCCACUCCUACAUCUGACGUUGUUGCUGCCGGUGGUCAACGCCGUCGCCGUGGACCUAUGGUGUUGUUGUCACCAAAAAACAUGUGAACGACAACUUAGGUGCAGAGCAUCAUUUGUAUUUUGUUUCGUACGGAGAUCAUUUGACGUUUUUUGGUGACAAAAAUUUGCAAGCUCCUAAAACAUUUGCUCAUAGUCAUAUCCACCAAGUUUCAGAUUUUAUUUUUAUUUUUUUGAAUUUACUGUUCACUUCAUGGGUGCACCGAAGUUGGGUGCAUUAACUGUUUUCCCUAAUUUAAGAGUUCGGCUAGAGAUGCCCUUUGAAAGCUUUAUUUUCUGAUUUUUAAUUUUAAUUUUAGUUUUUAUUUACAUUUACAAGAAGAAUAAGAAUGCGCCAGCCAAAAAAAAAAGUAGGAUGGAGGAAGGCGAUAAACGGCGGCCGUUGAAUUUGACCGAACGCAAAAAAAUAUUCACGCGGAUAGAAUUUUUUUUUCCACCUGCUCCUCUCCCUUUCACUCUCCCCACUUGCCGUAGCUCCCCAUCCGGCCGCCGCCGCCGUCGUCGCUGUCGCCGUCGCCGAGCAGGGCAGGUUGAGCUAGCUGCGCUGCUGACGUUGCCACUUCUUCUUCUUCUUCUUCUUCUUCUUCUUCCUGUCGUCCUGGCCAACCUCGCGGCUCAACACGGCGGCCUCGCAGAGCCGGCUCAGCCUGCCUCCUUCCCUCCGCUUCUGCGACCGGGAUGGUGGUGCGGUGUGCUACCCACCUAGAGCUAUUGCAAGCUCCAAGUGUGCAGGACAGAGAUUUGGUUUGGCCUCUGCUCUGCUCCAAAUGCCAUGUUUGUUCCACUUCGUGAUUUCUAGAGUCUAGACCACUACCAACAGUACAGAGCUAAAUCUCCAUCAGUUCUGAAUGCGGGGCGAAACUGUGCUGGAGCGUAUACUUGAAGGAGACGAGGAACCCAAGGAUCUGCCAUUAGCACUCCUACAGCACAUCACCAAUGAUUUCUGUGAAGAGAGAAAAAUCGGUCAGGGUGGAUUUGGGGACGUUUACAAGGGCGUACUCCGGAACGGGCUUGUUGUUGCUGUGAAGAGGAUACAUAUAAAUGUAGACACAGUUGAUGACAAGCUUUUUCGCCGUGAGUUUAAUAGCCUAUGGAAGGCUAAUAAUCAUCAAAAUGUAGUCCGCUUUCUUGGCUUCUGUUCUAAUUCAUAUCAGACACGGAUACAAGAGGCUGGGUCAGAGGAAAUUAAAUUGGCCAAUGUGAGAGAAAGAUUGCUCUGUUUUGAGUACAUCAGCAAUGGAAGCCUUGAUAAGCAUAUUACCGAUGAAUUAAGGGGACUCGAAUGGGAAACACGCUAUGGCAUAAUCAUCGGAAUUUGCAACGGUCUGUGUCAUCUCAAGGAAAAAAAUAUUAUUCAUAUGGACCUCAAACCAGCAAACAUAUUACUGGAUGAUCAUAUGGUCCCAAAAAUCACAGAUUUUGGUUUGUCAAGGCCAAAUGAAAGCUCACAUACAAUUGGUCAACGUUUUGGAACACGAGGAUAUCUCGCGCCGGAGUACGAGAAUGCUGGCAAAACUUUGGUCAAGUCUGACAUAUAUAGUUUGGGUGCCAUAAUUAUUGAAUUAGUAACGGGGUGUAUGGGUGCCCCUGACAAAAUAAAUGUACUUCGAAGGUGGAGACACAGGUGGAGUAAGCCACCGACGUUACUACAAUACCAACAAGUAACUAGAUGCAUUGACAUAGCAGCACGUUGCAGGCAGCAAGAACCGGGACUUAGACCUUCUAUAUCGGAAAUAAUCAGCAGCCUGAUUGGACCUGAAAGCACGGAUGUGCACACUGGCCAGGUAAGCCCGUAUUUUGAUGAAGAUGACAUGCUAGGGAUUAAGCCACUCGAACUACAGCUUUCUUCCGAGCUUAAGGAGGAGAUAUCAUGCUUCACGGUUGAGCUAACCAAUGAUACACGUAGUUGCAUUGCCUUCAACAUCCAAUUGCCAAGCAGACAACAAUACAGCGCACAACCAGACAUAGGCAUCGUGCAACCACAAUCCAAAUAUGGUGUGAAGAUAACAGUACAAGCACGAGAUGCUCAUGAGUACGACCAUGCCGACGAGUUCAUCAUGCAGAGCAUGAAACUGAGUGACGGUCUUAGAGAUAUGGUUUUCACAGAAAGCAUGUUCCAUGAAGAAGCCGGUAAAGUUGUUGAUGAGGUGAAUUUGAUGGUUGUAUAUGCGCCUACAAAGCCCCAAGAAAACUGCAAGAGUAGAGAAGACACCAACACGCCAGAGGAAGUCCUCGAGGUGAGAAAAAGCAGGAUUGUUGAUUCUGCUUCUGGAAAGGGCAAACUUGUUAGCAACGAAAAUGCAGAGACAAGCUUAGUCAGGCACAAGGACAUCAAUUCAAGCACGCGAGAACAUUAUACCGAGCAAACAGAGCGGUAUAAAUUCUACCAACCACGGAGUUUUUCAUGCCAUUAUCCAACCAACACAACAUACCUAGGGAAAGGGAGCCGAGCCGUGGAUGUUGCAAGGGGGGCUAUGGGCAGCCUACUCGACAAGCUGGGCAAGCUCGUCAAGGAGGACUACAAUCUGGAGAGGAGCAUGAAGAGAGAUAUUGAGUCUUUUUCAGAAGACCUGGCAAAGAUUCACAAAGACCUCCCUAAGCUGGAAAAGCUUGACGGGCUCAAGAUUUGGGUUGAUGAAGUCAGGGAGCUGUCAUAUAACAUUGAGGAUAUGGUCGACAGCUUCUUGUUGCACGUCGAGCUUGACUCCAGUAGCAGUGGCUUCAGGGAGUUCCCGCGUGAGGGGCUAAAGUUCUUGGAGAAUGACAUGAUUACUCAUCGUCCGAUUGGUGAUGUGAUCAGAGACAUCAAGAAUCAUGUUCAGGCCGUGGCUGACAGGCAAAAGAAGUACAACUUCAGUGUCAACGAUGUCAUAGCUGAUCCAACUGCCAAAGCUCCCAUUGACCCUCGGAUGGCUAAAUACAUAAAUAAAAAACAGCUCGUUGGCAUCGAAGCACCAACAGAUGAGCUAAUAAGGUUGUUUGGGGAGGAUGGCGGUGUAUCAAAGCAAGAGCUCAAAAUAGUCUCCAUAGUUGGAUUGGGAGGACUGGGCAAGACCACACUUGCCAGGGCAGUAUAUGACAAGCUUAAGGCACAAUACCAUUGUAGAGCUUUUGUUUCAGUAGGCCAGAAUCCUGAUGUGAAGAAAGUUUUGAUGAAUAUUCUCUUUGCACUUGGAAAAAAAUUCAAUGACUUGGAUGUGUUGCAGCUCAUCGAGGAACUCCAAAAAUUGCUUGAGGAUAGGAGAUACUUCAUAGUAAUUGAUGAUAUUUGGGAUUCUGAAGCAUGGGAUCCUAUUCAAUCUGCUUUUCCAGAAAACAGCCUAGGCAGUAGAGUGAUAACAACAACAAGGAUUCAUCCCGUUGCUCUUGCCACUUGCAGUGCUAAAAGCAAAUUUGUUUAUAGGAUGAAAUCACUCAGUCCUGAAGACUCAAGAAGAUUAUUUUUAAGAAGAAUAUUUGGUUCCGAAGAAGCUUCGCCUGAUACACCUAGAGAAGAAGAGAUUUCAGUUGAUAUUCUGAAAAAAUGUGGUGGUAUGCCACUUGCUAUCAUCAGUAUAGCAAGCCUUCUAGCUGGUGAGCCAGCGUCAACCUGGGAUUAUGUGAGAAAAACUAUGGGUGCUAUGACUGACGGAGAUGAUGUUGAAAAGAUGAAGCAAAUAUUGGAUCUUAGCUACAUACAUCUUCCUGAUCAUCUUAAGACAUGUCUGCUUUAUGUUUGUAUGUAUCCAGAGGAUCGCGAGAUAGAUAAAUUUGAUUUGUUGAGGCAAUGGGUGGCUGAAGGUUUCGUGAUUACAAACGGUCGGCUGGAUGCAGUGGAUCUUGCAGAAAAGUACUUCAAAGAGCUCAUCAAUAUGUGUAUGCUCGAACCUGGGAAGAUAGACGACUACAACAAUGAAGUGUUGUCUUGCAGGGUACAUGAUAUAAUUCUUGAUCUAAUGAGAUCGAAGUCAAGCAAGGAGAAUUUCAUUCACGUAAUUGAUGGUUCGAAAGAUGAGACUGGGCAGAUCCGUCGAGUCGCAUUCCACUACAAUGAUAAAGAGGAUACAGGGAUUUCAGGAAGUAUCAACAAAGGUUCACUAUCACAUGUUCGGUCAGUUUUACUUCGCCGAACCUCGCUUGUGCCUCGUUUUCAGGAGUUCCAGUAUGUCCGAGUUCUACACCUUGAACUUGAGUUAUCUUCCAUGGACCUAGUAGAUCUCACUGGUAUCAAUAGGUUGUUUCUCCUCAGGUAUUUAAAGGUUGCACCUCUUAGACCAUUUGGAUAUUCGCUGAAGCUACCUAAUAAAAUUGGAGGGCUACAGCAAUUGGAGACAAUGGAUCUAGAUUAUGCUUCCCUGGAAAAGUAUCCAUCAGAUAUUGCCAGUUUGCCCUGGUUAUCGCAUCUCAGCUCGAGGGCAAAUGCUGAAGGUGGUAUAGCGUUGCCUGACAGGAUCGACAGGUUGACAUCCCUGUGCACCCUAGAAGGUGUUUGUAUUUAUAGAAGCUCGGUAGAGAAUAUCAAGGGCCUCGGCAAGCUGACCAACUUGAGAAAACUUGCGAUCUGUUCGGCCAAGUUUAGGCAAACGAUGGAAGAGGAAGAGGAAAUUAUGCGUGUGGAUGCCUUGCACUCUUCCAUCUGCAUGCUCGCCUCCAACCUCAGGAUCCUUACUUUCGGAAUAUCAUCUGAAGUUUCCAUGCUGGAUGUCGGAUGCUGGAGCAGCAGCUCACCGUUCCCUCAGGUUUCUCAUAUUCGGGAGCUCAAUUUGUUGUGCUGCGAGUUUGAAAAGUGUCCUGAGUGGAUUGGUCAGCUCCAUCACCUCUACAAGUUUCUAAUUUCUGUGAAGGAGGUGGCUGAUGGUUUCAGUAUUGUUGCAAGGUUGCCUUCACUUGCCUACUUCAAGUUGGUUACAUUUGUUAAAGAAGAAAAGGAAGAAAGUGUAGUCAUCCCUGGCCGCGGGGCAUUCCAAGCACUCAAGCACCUGAUUUUCCAUUGUGAAAAGGUGUCACUGACCUUCGAAGAGGGGGCUAUGCCCAAGCUAGAGAAGCUUGACAUGCAGUUACGUUGGGACAUGACUUGUGAAUUCUUACCGGUUGGCAUCGAUCACUUGCAAGCUGGCACCCUUAAGGAAAUCUGGUUACGCGUGCACUGGCACCCAUCGUGUCCGGUAGAAGGCUCCCAGGACUUUGAUGAUGAUGUCUGUUCAGCUAAGUGUAAUGACAAUUGUGAACACAAAGAACCUGUGAGGCGCCUGUUGGAGGGAGCCUUUAAGCCCCAUCAUCAUACCGCCGACAUCUCCAUUUCCUUCGUUGAUUAUUGUUAUGUCGGUGAUGAAUUUGAUGAAGAAGAUGGUGAUAAUGAAUUGACAAGUACGGACAGUUCAACUUCUGACGAAGAGGAUGGUGAUAAUGAAUCUGACUGACCCAUAAUGUAUCGGAGUACACAUUUUUGUUACUCAAUCAUGCAAGCUAGACAAUGCUGUUGGCGUCCCUGAGACAUUAGGAACCAACACGGCUAUCCGGGAUGCGGACAUGAUCAAUAUAGGUCAGCAGCUCGAACCUGGUUGGGCCCUUGUAAUUUUUUGAACCUGGUUGGGCUCUCAUGGAAAUGGAAGAAGGUCAACUGCCCAGCUGAAGAUACACUUCAACACUGAAUUCCUUCACACUGAAAACUUAAUAGUAGCAUCAGUUCAGCCAACAAGUUAUCAUCAGUAUACUUCCAACUAGUUUUCACAAAGAAAACAGAGCUUUUCUGAAGCAUUUUCUCCAGGGUAACUUUUCGGAACCAUCAUUGGCUACGGAAAUGGGCAGCUUACAUUGGUGUUGGUCAGAUGAUAGAUUGGUAGCCCACAGCUCUUUUACUCUAAAUACAUUCAGAGGUUCAGUAACUACUUUAUUGUUACCAAGCAAUGGAGUUUGAAAUCUCCCAUGGACUCGCUGUCUGAAAUCACCCAUGACAUUUUAGUUGCCAAACAAUGGAGUUGGAACUGAUGGCCCUGCUAUUAGCUGAAUAGUACCAUUCAGUGUUCAGUAUUCAACGUCAAGGAAUUGUGGCUGCUAGCAUUUGAUAUACUCUGCAAUUUGGUUGGCUGGGAUUCAUUCAGUUAAAGGGAUGGCGCGUAUUUUAGUGAGAAACAAAUUGCGUCGUGGUGGCCAUUAUGGUGAAGAAGUGGGCGAGAAAAACAUUGGGAUAGGCACUGUAUACUCCUGCUAAUUAAUCUCCCAUGUGUGUGUGUGUGUGUGUGUGUGUACACAAGGGUCCUUUCACCUUUGUGGAGACCUAGUCAAACAAUCUUUCAGUAAGCAAUCCUUUACUUGGUAAACCAACACCUAAUCCAUCAGAACAUGGUUAGAAAAUUACUUUGCAUUAUCUAGUACCCCUCCGUC